GGACGAGGGUCUGGACCAUGGCAACUGCGGGCGCGCGGUGACUGUCACGCGGGGCGUGCGGGACUAUAAGGUACGAGGCCUAACACACGGGACGCGUGGGCGUUAUCUAUUUCUCCCACACACACGCGUGUGAGAGGGUUCGGGAGGGAAAAAAAAGAGGUGUGUGGGUAUUACUUGUUUUGCCCACACGUAGGUGUGUGGGCUGUUCCUCUUAUACACCACACAAAAUGUGUGGGUAGAUCCCCUAACGCCCACACGUGUGGCACUUAUCGGCGUUUGGAUUUGACUUUUUUAAGUUCAGUAGACACAUGACUUGUGAGCUUAAAAAAGGAAUAUUUUGAAACAUUUAAAUUGAUUUUCCUUAAAUGGAAGCAUGAGAGCAUGUGAGGGAUGGUAUCACUGGAUUUUCUCCGCUAGGCCUCAAAUUAUUUUCCUAGUUGUCCACACAUCUAUUGCACAGAGUGGAGAAAUCAGGAAAAAUAAUACACCAUUGAGGUCAUUCUCGUAAAUUGAUCAAUGUUCUCGCAUAUUGAUAUUUUAAUUAUGUGCUAUCUCCACGCCUGAUAGGUAAAACUUUACUAUUUUUGUUACAAUCCUUUUUAACAAUUGAUGAUGAUGAGCCACUAGGAAAACAAUUAUUGUUUUCUUUUAUUGUUAAAUCAUAUAUUAGAGUUGUUCUCUAACAUUAUCCGUGAGCAAAUGGGUCAUAAGCCUCAAAAUUGAUUGAGUAUGAGUGCAUUUUCAUUACAAAUGUAAGAUCCCACCACCAUCUUUGAGAUGCAACUCUGACAUGUAAGGAAGAUCAAGCAAAUAACACUUUAAUAAAGAGAAUAUAAAAUUAAAAAUAGCACUUGAGUUCAAGAAGGGUAACAAAAAAGAAAACAAACCAUCUUUCCAAAAACCACAUGAACGGAAGAAAGCUAGCAUCUCAAUGUCCCUCGAGGUUUUCCCGCAAAAAAAAUGUCCCUCGAGGUUUAAGCUCUAUCAAUGUUUAUUUGGUUAAAACUGUAGAAAAAAGACAAAUGAUUCUUUUUCAGUUACAAGCAGGCAAAACAUUUCUAGGAAAUAUACUAAAUACCUCUCCGUUGUGGGAAUAUUUAUCUAAUAUUUCAAUUGUACAAAUAAUAAUAAAAAUCAUUUUAAAAAAUCGCAUGAAAGGAAAUUCGUUUUAUCUUAUUGUAAGAAUAAAUGUUUCUUUUCCUGCCACCAGAACACUUUCUGACCACAACAUGACGUAACGCGCAGCUCCAGGCGAGAGAGCAGAGAGAGAGCCCGCAGUUUCAGUUCCAGAAGAUGAGCAUAUGACAACGGUUUUGCUAUUUUACAGUCAAGUGUUUUUCAAUUCGUCAACAUUCAAAUUUCUGUCCGUCCAUUCUCGCGGGAAGAUUCGCGCUGGUUUUCAUUUUUUUCUUCGUGCUGGCGCUCUGUUUCUCGGGUUGGUUGUCGGGUUCGGUUUUUCUUGUGUCUUUCUUGUGUCAACCCGUAACCGCCUCCGUUCCGGCACUGUUUGUUUUUUGUCCUGUUUGAAUUUUGGAGUGGGUGUCGUCUCCCCUUUUCUCUGGGUCAUUCUGUUCCGAUAAGGCCGAGGGAGAGGGCUAGAGCGGCGGAGGAGAGAGGCGAUUCUUCUGUUCAAGGUGGCUCCUCAUGAUUUUUCCGUGGUAUCUGAGGUCUGUCUGAAUGUGUUUUUCGAGGAACCUCUCUGAAUUUCAUGCUUCAUUGUUUUUACCCCCCCCCCCCCCCCCCACUCCCACCCCCACCCCCCACCCCCAGACUUGUAAUGUACCUCAGAAAUGCAGUGUAUCUUACCCCCCAGAUUUUCAGUGUAACUGCUGUGUAAUUUACUGCGUAAUAUGUUGUAUCUUCACGAUGUCCCUGAACUUACAGUGUAAUACUCCCUUAUUUGAGUGUGUUUUGUCCUCGUAGUACUAUGUACAGUGUAAUUCUCCCAGAAUUACAAUGUAACUUACCUCCCAGAAUUACUGUGUAUGCUUGCAGAUGUUGAGUGUAUUUUAACGUACAAUUACAGUGUAAUUUGACAUAGUAGUAAUUUGUAUUUUUCGCCCUAAUUCCAGUGUAAUACAGAUUAUAGUGUACAUUUUCCCCUAAUUACAGUGCAUAUGCCCAGAUUUUUCAGUGUAAUAUGCGCUGGAAUCGAUGUGUAAUAUGUCCUAGGACUGCACUGUAGUUUACCCUACAUUUACACAGUAAUUUAGCCAACUACUCAAGUAAUUUACUGUAUAAUAUGUUUUAGAGACCCUCCAUUUACAGUGUAAUUUUCCCAUUUUACAGUGUAAUAUGUCCUAGAGACAGUGAAUUAAUGUAAUUUGUGCAAGAACUACUGUGUAAUAUGGACUAGAUUUUCUCCUGCAUUUUUACAGUGUAAUAUUUUCACAAUUACAGUGUAAUUCUCAGGCUUUUUUACUUUGCUUUUACUGUAUAAUGUGCCUCUGACUUUCAGUGUAAUUUACCCCAUUUCUAUGUAAUUUGCGGCACAGUUACCGUGUACUCUUGCCCUUAUUUUCAGUGUACUUUUAAUGAUUCAGUUAUGUAAUAUGUCCUAGGACUACACUGUAGUAUACCCUACAUUUACACAGUAAUUUAGCCCAACUUCUCAUGUAAUUUACUGUAUAAUAUGUUGUAGAGACCUUCCAUUUACAGUGUAAUACUCCCCAUAUUACAGUGUAAUAUGUCCUAGAGACAGUGAAUUGCUGUAAUUUGUACAAGAACUAUUGUGUAAUAUGGCCUAGAUCUUCUCCUUCAUUUUUCCAGUGUAAUAUUUUCACAAUUACAGUGUAAUUCUCAUGCUUUUUUGUAUUAAAAAUACGUUGUAUCA